CCAGAGUCGGGGCCGCCAGCCACCCGCAGAACGCACACGGAGCUACCUUGGGGCCGACGGCGCGGGGCCUCAUUCGGUGUCAGCCCCGGGAGCUGGCGCCUGGGGACCGCGCAGGCCGGCGGGGCCGCGCACCUGGGGCCCCAGGGCCGAGCGUUUCCUCCCGAGCGCCGGCCGUUUAUCGCGCAAAUCUCGCGGCGAAGAGGAGAGGCCGGAAGGGCGCCCCAGCCCCAGGGCUCCCGCCCCGCCGGGGCCUGCGGCUUUCGUUUCCCCGCAACGCUUCGCUUUCGUUUCCCGCUGGCGCCUGGCUCCCUCCAGGUUUCGUUUCCCGCCGGCGCCUGGUUCCCGCCGGGUUUCGUUUCCGAGGCGGGGCCGAGGGCGGUGUCGCUGAGGCGCCCAUGGCCUUCGCCCGCCCGCUCCUGCGCAGGCCACUGUCGGGGCCGCUGCUCGGGCGGCGCGGGGUCUGCGCUGGGGCCAUGGCUCCGCCGCGCCGCUUCGUCCUGGAGCUUCCCGACUGCACCCUGGCUCACUUCGCCCUAGGCGCCGACGCCCCCGGCGACGCAGACGCCCCCGACCCCCGCCUGGCGGCGCUGCUGGGGCCCCCGGAGCGCAGCUACUCGCUGUGCGUGCCCGUGACCCCGGACGCCGGCUGCGGGGCCCGGGUCCGGGCGGCGCGGCUGCACCAGCGCCUGCUGCACCAGCUUCGCCGCGGCCCCUUCCAGCGGUGCCAGCUGCUCAGGCUGCUCUGCUACUGCCCGGGCGGCCAGGCCGGCGGCGCACAGCAAGGCUUCCUGCUGCGCGACCCCCUGGAUGACCCUGACACCCGGCAAGCGCUGCUCGAGCUGCUGGGCGCCUGCCAGGAGGCACCACGCCCUCACCUGGGCGAGUUCGAGGCCGACCCACGCGGCCAGCUGUGGCAGCGCCUCUGGGAGGUGCAAGACGGCAGGCGGCUGCAGGUGGGCUGCGCACAGGUCGUGCCCGCCCCGGAGCCCCCGCUGCACCCGGUGGUGCCAGACUUGCCCAGUUCCGUGGUCUUCCCGGACCGGGAAGCCGCCCGGGCCGUUUUGGAGGAGUGUACCUCCUUUAUUCCUGAAGCCCGGGCGGUGCUUGACCUGGUCGACCAGUGCCCAAAACAGGUCCAGAAAGGAAAGUUCCAGGUUGUUGCCAUCGAAGGACUGGAUGCCACGGGUAAAACCACGGUGACCCAGUCAGUGGCAGAUUCACUUAAGGCUGUCCUUUUAAAGUCACCACCCUCUUGCAUUGGCCAGUGGAGGAAGAUCUUUGAUGAUGAACCAACUAUCAUUAGAAGAGCUUUUUACUCUUUGGGCAAUUAUAUUGUGGCCUCCGAAAUAGCUAAAGAAUCUGCCAAAUCUCCUGUGAUUGUAGACAGGUACUGGCACAGUACGGCCACCUAUGCCAUAGCCACUGAGGUGAGUGGGGGUCUCCAGCACCUGCCCCCAGCCCAUCACCCUGUAUACCAGUGGCCGGAGGACCUGCUCAAACCUGACCUCAUCCUGCUGCUCACCGUGAAUCCUGAGGAAAGGUUGCAGAGGCUGCAGGGCCGGGGCAUGGAGAAGACCAGGGAAGAAGCAGAACUCGAGGCCAACAGCGUGUUUCGUCAAAAGGUAGAAAUGUCCUACCAGCGGAUGGAAAAUCCUGGCUGCCAUGUGGUUGAUGCCAGCCCCUCCAGAGAAAAGGUCCUGCAGACGGUAUUAAGCCUAAUCCAAAAUAGUUUUAAUGAACCGUAGUUACUCUGGCCAGGUGCCACGUCUAACUACAUUAGAUGUUGCUUGAAACAUCUACAUCCACCAUUUGUUGUGCAGUGUUCCCAAAUUUCUGUUGUACAAGCAUGUUGUGUGGCAGAAAACUGGAGACCAGGCAUCUUAAUUUUACUUCAGCCGUCGUACCCUCUUCUGGCUGAUGGAGCCGUCAUCACAAAGGACCCUCUCAUCAUGUUCCGGUGAGAGGCCAGCGACUGCUUUCUUCCUGGCAUAGUAAACAUUUUCUUGGAACAUAUGUUUCACUUAAUCACUACCAAAUAUCUGGAAGACCUGUCUUACUCAGACAGCACCAGGUGUACAGAAGCAGCAGAAAGAUCUUCCAGAUCAGCAGGGAGGCCCCGGAGCCUCUCCUUCUCCUACACUGGCAUGCUGAUGAGAUCGUGACAUGCCCACAUUGGCUUCUUCCACAUCUGGUUGCACUCGUCAUGAUGGGCUCGCUGCAUCUUCCUCAGUCCAAAUUCUAGAGCCAAGUGUUCCUGCAGAGGCUGUCUAUGUGUCCUGGCUGUCCAAGGACACUCCUGCAGAGCCAUUUUUGGAUGAAAUUGGAGAACCUGAACAUGAUUGUGAAAAAAUUGUGAUGCAAACCUAUGCAGCCAGAGAGGACGUCCAGGAAACUCCUCUAGAAAACUGAGACUGGGCUCUCUUUACAGGUCCCAGCUGGGAGGCACCUUAUGCCAUCCUUCUCUCCACCCGCUUGGCAGUGAAGUUUGUGGGACUGGAAUCUUGGAUCCAUCACACUCGAGUCAAGGCCUGGAAUGACCCCUGAAAUCCCAGAAGAACAUCUCAGAUAUCAGUGUGAAAAAUUCGGGGAUUUCAAACUGAAAAUACAAAAGAUAAGUAAAUGAGUGGGAACUCUCUGUUCAGUUCAAUCCCACCCUUACCUUACCAGAUACUAAAGUCAUUUCUACCUUUCCUCUUGAGAUUUGCUGUUAGAUAUUAGAACGUCUCUUUGUCACAUACUUACAGGGAGAUUGUGAUUAUCCAUGGGAUUCCAUUCAUAACCUCAUAAACCACCCCCACGAAGAAAUUAUAUAUCUCGGUGAGUAAGAUUUAAAGUGGAAGUUUAUUACUUCACACAUAUGGGAAUUGUAUUCACCUUGCUCUUUGCAGUAGGAGUAUAUACUGUGGCAUCUUCUAAGUGGAAUAUUGGGAAAAGAGUCUCAAUUGCCAUAAUCUUUUGCUUAGUUAUUAUUCAUAUAGCAGGGAUAGUAGUCACAGAUAAGAGGUAAACAUGAAGAUUUUGUUACUAUCAAGUUUACUAGCAUUCACUGUUAGAUGUAGCAAUGUCUCACAUUCUUUGGCCCCUACUAUAUCAGAUAUUACUGAUCUGUACAACAAGACUGAUUACUGGGUUUGUCCUGAACAAUUUACUCAGUUUAAUAACACGAGUGGACUCUUUGAUGAUUCAGAACUCACUAUCUUAGGCUUUCCCUCUGAUGGCUUUACCUUAAAUCAUCAAGGACCUAAUAGGUAUAAAGGGAACAAGGUACGGGAGCAUUUUUAACUCCUCCCAGAAAGACACACCCCCUGAGGGUAAAACUCACACCCUUAGACUAGGUGAAGUUGAUAGAAUGAUAGCCAAUGCCUGUCUCUGCUUUAAGAGUAAAGGAAAAGGACCAUACUUGGGAAACCUUAAAUAUUGCAACAGUAUGCUUGUAACUUCUGAGACCACAGAGAUCUGGAGACUAAGAAGGAACAAGGGUGACACCAAACAUUGGGAGGGACUGGAAAAAUUUUAACAAUCUAGCCAGACCUCCCAGGUGGAGUUCCCAAUGGGAAUGUCUACCCCGGGUAGAAAUGCCACCCCUCGCCAACCUUAUUAUCAGGUAAUAAAUAACACAUGGUCCUUCCCAAACAUGCCCACACGUGGAAUCCUGGACCCUGGUAUGAUAUUUGAUAAUGACAGUGAUUGCAAAUUUGUGGAUGAACA